rnacentral:rRNA from 1 species
GAUGAACGCUAGCGAUAGGCCUAACACAUGCAAGUCGAGGGGCAGCACAAGGUAGCUUGCUAUCUGGGUGGCGACCGGCGCACGGGUGCGUAACGCGUAUGCAACUUGCCCUAUACAGGAGGAUAACCCGUCGAAAGACGGACUAAUACUGCGUAUGCUCACAACUUGGCAUCAAGUGGUGAGGAAAGAAAUUCGGUAUAGGAUAGGCAUGCGUCCCAUUAGCUUGUUGGUGAGGUAACGGCUCACCAAGGCAACGAUGGGUAGGGGAACUGAGAGGUUUAUCCCCCAGACUGGUACUGAGACACGGACCAGACUCCUACGGGAGGCAGCAGUGAGGAAUAUUGGUCAAUGGGCGCGAGCCUGAACCAGCCAAGUCGCGUGAAGGAUGACUGUCUUAUGGAUUGUAAACUUCUUUUAUACGGGAAUAACAAGAGUCACGUGUGACUCCCUGCAUGUACCGUAUGAAUAAGCAUCGGCUAACUCCGUG